GAUGAAGAACGUAGCGAAAUGCGAUAAGUAAUGCGAAUUGCAGAAUUUCCGUGAGUCAUCGAAUCUUUGAACGCACAUUGCGCUCCCUGGUAUUCCGGGGAGCAUGCCUGUUCGAGCGUCAUUACAACCCUCAAGCUCUGCUUGGUGUUGGGCCCCGCCGCCCCGGCGGGCCCUAAAGUCAGUGGCGGUGCCGUCCGGCUCCGAGCGUAGUAAUUUUUCUCGCUUUGGAGGCCCGGGCGCGUGCUUGCCAUCAACCCCCAAUUUUUUUCAGGUUGACCUCGGAUCAGGUAGGGAUACCCGUUGAACUUAAGCAUAUCAAUAAGCGGAGGA
rnacentral:misc_RNA from 1 species